rnacentral:rRNA from 1 species
UACGGAGGAUCCAAGCGUUAUCCGGAAUUACUGGGCGUAAAGAGUUGCGUAGGUGGCAAAGUGUGUCUAUAGUGAAAGCGUUCGGCUCAACCGAAUAAACAUUAUGGAAACUGCUUGGCUAGAGGAUGAGAGAGGUUAUUGGAAUUCCCAGUGUAGGAGUGAAAUCCGUAGAUAUUGGGAGGAACACCGAUGGCGUAGGCAGAUAACUGGCUCAUUCCUGACACUAAGGCACGAAAGCGUGGGGAGCAAACGGG